rnacentral:lncRNA from 1 species
AACCAGAUGCUCUGGUGCAAUGAACAACCUGCUCAACUGUACAAAGGAGACCUGCAAGUCAGGGACCCUGUGGCAACGCGACCUCCCUGGGAACCUCUCCUAUCUACCUUCAGUCCCUAUGCAUCCGCUUCCUCCCAAUUCCUCUUGCCCUCACUCAUCAUAAGCAUAUGAGGAGGCUUUGGGAGGACAGUCUUAGUUGGAACAAGGAUUUUCAGGCUGUAGAGACCAGAGAAUGCUUGUCCUGGGAUGUGUGAGAGAUGGUUCCCAGAGAGACGCCUGGAAAUCAGAGACAAGGGUCAGCGAUGUUGGCAGAUGAGGAAACUGAGGCUAGGAGAAGUCAACCACGUCCCCUAGGGGUCACAGAACCAGUCCAUGGCAGAGCCUGGUGUUCUCACCCAGACCUGACUAAUUUGAAGGCUCACGGCCACAGUUUCCCCACAUCCUCUCCUGUGCUAACCUGGAUUACCCACCGCCUGCUCUCAACUGCUGGACUGCAUCAUAUGGUGUCAUCAGUAGAGGGAGGAGUACCAGGGGGUGUGUCUGUGUCUCUCCAGGCCCUAAACUACACAGCUAACCCUCACUAAUCCAAGAGGGUUAAGGAAAUGGGGUGGUGUAAUUCAUCUAACAUUCUGGUCUAAUUAAGCGUUUCCAUGUUUAUCGGGGCAAUCACCAAUUCUAAAAGGAGCAAAUGCAACGAAAUACACUCAAUGCUGAAACCUGA